rnacentral:rRNA from 1 species
UACGAAGGGGGCUAGCGUUGUUCGGAAUUACUGGGCGUAAAGCGCACGUAGGCGGAUAUUUAAGUCGGGGGUGAAAUCCCGGGGCUCAACCCCGGAACUGCCUUCGAUACUGGGUAUCUUGAGUUCGGAAGAGGUGAGUGGAAUUGCGAGUGUAGAGGUGAAAUUCGUAGAUAUUCGCAGGAACACCAGUGGCGAAGGCGGCUCACUGGUCCGAUACUGACGCUGAGGUGCGAAAGCCAGGGGAGCGGAACGGG